rnacentral:tRNA from 2 species
AGGAAUUUAGGUUAAAAAGACCAAGAGCCUUCAAAGCCCUAAGCAGAUAUAAAUUUAAAUCUAAUUCCUG